UGCCAGCCGCCGCGGUAAGACAGGAGGAGCAAGUGUUAUUCAGAAUUACUGGGCGUAAAGCGCAUGUAGGCGGAACAGAAAGUUAGAAGUGAAAUCCCUGGGCUCAACCUAGGAAUUGCUUUUAAAACUUCUGUUCUGGAAUUCAGGAGAGGAAAAUGGAAUUUCCAGUGUAGAGGUGAAAUUCGUAGAUAUUGGAAGGAACACCAGUGGCGAAGGCGAUUUUCUGGACUGAUAUUGACGCUGAGAUGCGAAGGCAUGGGUAGCAAACGGGAUUAGAUA
rnacentral:rRNA from 1 species